AUGCAGGCUAGCUACUGUGUUUUGUUACUGAUCACACACACUCACUCACUUGCAUACCUGCGCCCGGAGCUCAGGCGCGCGAUCGUGGAGGAGUUCGCGGGGUUUGGCGUACGGGUGCACACCUGCUCCCGGAGCGACGCCGACCUGCAGGAGCGCCUGCGCGGUUGGCAGGCCGACCGCGGCCGCGUCCCGGGCUCCGCAUGCGACGUCUCCGUGCGCGGCGACAGGAAGCGGCUCGUGGCCACGGCCCGCGCCGAGAUGGGGGGCAAGCUGGACAUCCUCGUCAACAACGCCGGCCAGUCCUUCUACGGGGCGGCCACGGAGCGCACGCCCGAGGACUACGCCCGCCUCAUGGCCACCAACCUAGAGUCCUGCUUCCACUUCGCCCAGCUCGCGCACCCGCUCCUCGUCCGUGCGGCGGGCGGUGGCAGCAGCGGCGGCAACGUGGUGAACGUCUCAUCCAUCGGCGGGCUCCUCGGAUACCCGAUGCUGUCGCUGUACUCGGCGACCAAGGCGGCUCUGAACCAGCUCACGCGUACCCUCGCCGUCGAGUGGGCGUGCGACGGCGUCCGUGUCAAUUGCGUCGCGCCGGGACCUCCUCGAAGCGGCAUUCAGAUGGAUUCAGAGGCGGCACGGAGGAUGUGGUAGGCGGAGAGCGCGCGCACCGCUUUGGGCCGCCUAGGCGAGCCGGAGGAGGUCGCAUCGCUUGUAGGGUUCCUCUGCAUGCCGGCUGCUUCGUACAUCACCGGGCAGAUCAUCUGCGUCGAUGGCGGCCAUACCGUAGCCGCCUAG
rnacentral:rRNA from 1 species